rnacentral:misc_RNA from 1 species
UUUCCGUAGGUGAACCUGCGGAAGGAUCAUUAAUGUAUAACCGAGGUGCGAGGGCUGUCGCUGACCCGAAAGGUCGUGCACGCCCGAGUGCCCUCACACACAUCCCUCUCACCCCUAUGUGCACCACCGCGUGGGUCCCCCUUUGGCUUGUUCGGAGGGGGGCUUACGUUUUCACACAAACUUUGUAUGCAGUGUAGAAUGUAUUUUUUGUUUUUGCGAUCACGCAAUCAAUACAACUUUCAACAACGGAUCUCUUGGCUCUC